UUUUUUUUUUCUCUGCUAGAGUUUCUGGUAAUUUAUUGCCGAGGUUGUCAUCAGAACCAGGGAUGAUGUUACUCACAACCAGGAUUGAGAGAAUUAGUCUGAAAGAUGGGGGGGGGGGGGCAGUGCAUCGGUCCAUGAAUGGCUUAGAUUUAACUCCCAUACAAGAUACUCCCGUGGCUUCAAGAAAAGAAGAUACUUGCGUUCAUUUUAAUGUGGACAUUGAGCUCCAGAAACACGUUGGAAAGUUAACCAAAGGUGUGGCCAUGUUCUUUGAAUUCAAACAUUACAGGCCUAAAACGAGGUUUACCAAGUGUUUUGCCUUCCUGGAGGUAGACAAAAUUAAACCUUGGCCAAUCAAAAUAGAACUAUACAAGGGACCCAGUGACUUUAAAAGAAAGAAAUUGCAAUUAUUGCCCAAGAAACCACUUUAUCCUCAUCAACAUCCAAGUUUGCACAAGGAAUGAUCCUGAUGCAAAUAACCAAGAGCUUGUGUGACUUUUACCACUCAGAACCAAUCAUAGCUCUGUGUAGCAUAAUCACCCUUCAUCAGAUCACCCUUCAUCAGAUCACCCUUCAUCAGAUCACCCUUCAUCAGAUCACCCUUCAUCAGAUCACCCUUCAUCAGAUCACCCUUCAUCAGAUCACCCUUCAUCAGGCAGGCUAUGAGCCCUACCCAUGCCAUUUGACCAAGCAAGUCUAUUGCACAGCCAGAUCCCAUAUCAAAACUUCAGCAAGUCACUGACCUACCCUAAGAAUGUGUUACAGUUUACAUCUCUGCUCCCUUCUGCUCCAGUACAUUCUCCUGGUUUCAAUGUCAUCCUGUGAGUUGAGUGAUCUGAAAUAUUCUGGAAGCAUCCUCCUUUAUGAAUAGUUCUCAUGUUAUCUGAAGAUUCUAUGCAGGCUGCUGAAGACCAGAAGUCAACCAGCA
rnacentral:lncRNA from 1 species